AAUAAGUGUAGGCAAUGCGGUCGUCAGUUACUAUUAGUUGUAAGGGCGAAGAAGAUGGUGGAAGAAAAAAGAAGUAAUUUCUUGAUGUAAUCUUGAAUAAAGAACAAGUGUUUCAUUUUUUGUUUUUUUUUUUUUCAUACAUAGUAAAAGCAAAUAGGUCUUCGUCAUUCUUGUUGCCGGUUUCGCUGAGAUCAGUUGGGAUCAGCAUGUGGUGACGAAGUUUUAUCAUCUCGUAAUUAUAGAUAUAAUACAUACAAUUCUACGAGUCGACGAAGUUGGAAAUACAAAGCACAGUGAAAGUCAUGUGUUAUAUUUUGCUGUUUUUCUUAUGUAAUCGAGGAAAUGAUAUCAGUAAUUGUUCUCGGAAAUUUGUUUUCGUGAACAAACUUACGAGAGAUUUGUAGCAGGGAUGGUGAUCUCUCUUUCUCAGAAUGAUAUGAUACCUACUCGCAAUAACAUUCUCGGCUAUUCUUCUGUUGUUUAAGUAUUUGCGUGUCAAUUAU